rnacentral:rRNA from 1 species
AUUGAACGCUGGCGGCAGGCUUAACACAUGCAAGUCGGACGGUAACAGGGAGGAAGCUUGCUUUCUUUGCUGACGAGUGGCGGACGGGUGAUUAAUGCUUGGGAAUCUGUUUUAUGGAGGGGGAUAACUACGGGAAACUGUAGCUAAUACCGCGUAAUAUCGAGAGAUUAAAGUGUGGGACCGUAAGGCCACAUGCCAUAGAGUGAGCCCAAGUGGGAUUAGGUAGUUGGUGGGGUAAAGGCCUACCAAGCCGUCGAUCUCUAGCUGGUCUGAGAGGAUGACCAGCCACACUGGGACUGAGACACGGCCCAUACUCCUACGGGAGGCAGCAGUGGGGAAUAUUGCACAAUGGGCGCAAGCCUGAUGCAGCCAUGCCGCGUGAAUGAAGAAGGCCUUCGGGUUGUAAAGUUCUUUCGGUGGUGAGGAAGGUUGUAAUGUUAAUAGCAUUAUAAUUUGACGUUAGCCACAGAAGAAGCACCGGCUAACUCCGUGCCAGCAGCCGCGGUAAUACGGAGGGUGCGAGCGUUAAUCGGAAUAACUGGGCGUAAAGGGCACGCAGGCGGAUACUUAAGUGAGGUGUGAAAGCCCUGGGCUUACCUAGGAAUUGCAUUUCAUACUGGGUAUCUAGAGUAUUUUAGGGAGGGGUAGAAUUCCACGUGUAGCGGUGAAAUGCGUAAGAUGUGGAGGAAUACCGAAAGCGAAGGCAGCCCCUUGGGGGAAUACUGACGCUCAUGUGCGAAAGCGUGGGGAGCAAACAGG